rnacentral:rRNA from 1 species
UACGGGGGGGGGCAAGCGUUGUUCGGAAUUACUGGGCGUAAAGGGCGCGUAGGCGGUUGGAUAAGUCAGCUGUGAAAACCACGAGCUUAACUCGUGGCCUGCAGUUGAGACUGUCUGGCUUGAGUGUGGGAGAGGAGAGUGGAAUUCCUGGUGUAGCGGUGAAAUUCGUAGAUAGUCGGGAGGAACGACCGGUGGCGAAGGCGGCGACCUGGGUCGAUACUGACGCUGAGGUGCGAAAGCGUGGGGAGCAAACAGG